rnacentral:rRNA from 1 species
CUGAUAAUAUAUUAAAGGGCUGCAGUAUUUUGACUGUACAAAGGUAGCAUAAUCAAUAGUCUUUUAAUUGAUGACUUGUAUGAAGGAUUGGAUGAAAUAUAUACUGUCUCUUAAUUAUAUUAAGAAUUUAAUUUUUUAAUUAAAAAGUUAAAAUAAAUUUAAAAGACGAGAAGACCCUAUAGAGUUUUAUAUUUAGUUUUAUUGAAUUUAUUUUUUAGAUUAUUAAUUAAAAUAAAUUUUAAAUAUUUUAUUGGGGUGAUGGAAAAAUUUAAUUAACUUUUUUUAUUAAAAAUUCAUUGAUUUAUGAUUGUUUUGAUCCAAAAAUUUUGAUUAUAAGAAAAAAUUACCUUAGGGAUAACAGCGUAAUUUUUUUUUUUAGUUCAAAUAAAAAAAAGAGUUUGCGACCUCGAUGUUGGAUUAAGAUAUAAUUUAUAUGCAAAAGUAUAAAAUUUUGAUC